GGGUUCAUUUUAUUCUUCGAUCCGUGAGCAUAUUCACCACUAACAAUGGAGUUUCUGGAAGAUGCGUGAGUUGAGUGGUCUUGAAGAUUUUCUGUUAGAAGAUUCGAUUGCGUCUUUACGGCUUCGUUUCUUAUCCUUCGAAACGUUAGAAGUUAUUAAUCCAUCGCUUUAACAAACCUCUUAAUACCAUCAACCCACGUCAACCAAUCUGACAUUGAAUGCAUCUUAUCUCUAUAUUACUCAGAUUCUGGGAAGCCUGGAACGUCAAACGCGGUGGCGAGUUAUGCUCUUCAAAGGAACUAUAUCCACCUCAGCUGAAGAGGAAAAAUGGAGUAGUCUUCUCGAGAUCAUGGAAGCUAUUGUUGACCAAUCACCACCCACUCUUCUUCCUUCAGAAAGUUUCUCCUAUGAGUUAUAUCUUCAUUCAUCUCCACAUGUUUGCAAAAGGACCCAGUCGAAGCUCUGCAAAGGAACUAAUGGAACUUUCUUUCUUGAAGAAAUACGACGACAACUUCUAGCGUCAUACUUCAUAGAUGCAUGGUCUCUGGUUGCAACGCUUAAGAAUCUGUCUGCUUCUAACUCAAUGGAAUCAGAGCUUAAAUACACUUUAGCUUGUGAUGGGACUUUGGAGAGGAGGUAGACGUUCACCUCAUGCACAGUAUUAUUUGUAGGUGUCAAGACAUCUCUCUCUUAAACUAACCACACCAUUUCUCUGCACUGCUGACUUGGAACACCUCAUGACUCACAGUGACAGCAACCAGCGUAUAUACAGGGCCGCGGAGACACAUAGGGAACAACAGUCAAUCUGAUGUCCAACCCUUUUGAGCUUAUACGAAGACGUCGUUUUCAGAAAUACAAAUACUAAUAGUUUGAGACCCUUGACUCUGUUAUUUAAUAAUUGGUUUAAAAUACAGAGUCCCUAAUAUGUAUUUAAUGUGUCCCAGUGAUUCAAUAUAUCCAUGGAAUGUAUCGUACUACUUUAUUUACGCAGAAAAUAAAAUAAAUAUAUU